rfam:Blastopirellula marina DSM 3645 scf_1099463000751 genomic scaffold, whole genome shotgun sequence.
CUGGCCGGUUCGCAAGAACCGGCGACCGCGCGUCAGAAGUCAGCAGAGAGCAUAGUAACCGCGCAAAACCGAUCCGCU